rnacentral:snRNA from 1 species
UCUAUGUAUUUUCAUUACUAUUU